rnacentral:piRNA from 1 species
UGCAGGAAUUCACAUUGGCCAACGGCCU